rnacentral:tRNA from 1 species
GGGGGAUUAGCUCAGCUGGGAGAGCGCCUGCCUUGCACGCAGGAGGUCAGCGGUUCGAGCCCGCUAUCCUCCA